GUGUGGCGAAGAUUUUUGUGGUACUUUUCAUAACGAGACAGGUCCUCUCCUGUGUGAGAUUUAUUAAUGUGUUAGUUGUGCCGCGGUAUUAUGGCUUAUUUUGCAGUCUGCUCUUUGAUGUCACAUGUCAGUCACAGACUUAGUUCAUGUCGUUUGUGGGUAACAGCAGCCAGGACAAGCGGCUUUGGUAAAAGGAGUCUCUGUCCACCUCAUGUCCCAUCAGCUGUGUACAGACAAACCAACUCUCUUAUUUGUAAUGGAACUAGAGGCCUCUUUUCCCAUAGUGGUGGUACAACCGUCAACCAGCAGAGCCUGGAGGACAUUGCUAAGAACAUCAAGGAUCAAAAGCACAAGAGAAUUGUGGUAAUGGCUGGAGCUGGUAUUAGCACUCCCAGUGGUAUCCCAGAUUUUAGGUCUCCAGGCAGUGGUCUCUAUGACAACCUACAACAAUAUGACCUGCCAUAUGCCGAGGCCAUAUUUGAGAUAGACUUUUUCCAUCAUAACCCUAAUCCUUUCUUCGCUCUGGCCAAGGAACUGUAUCCAGGGAAUUACAAACCCAAUCUGACGCACUAUUUUGUACUCCUGCUUCACAAGAAGGGUCAGCUUCUCAGAAUGUACACACAGAACAUCGAUGGGUUGGAAAGAUUGGCAGGGAUUCCUGCUAAGAUGUUGGUGGAGGCACACGGUACUUUUGCCACUGCUACCUGUACUGUUUGCCGGAGGAAAUAUGAAGGAAAGGACCUUCGAACCGAUGUGAUGAGUGGGAUGGUCCCAAAGUGUCCUACCUGUAAAGGAGUGGUGAAGCCAGACAUUGUGUUUUUUGGUGAGGCGCUACCAAUGCAUUUCAUGCAAUACCUCUCAGACAUCCCCUUGGCAGACCUCCUGAUCAUCAUGGGGACUUCUCUGGAGGUGGAGCCAUUUGCCAGUAUUGCCGGAGCAGUGCGCAGCUCUGUUCCCCGUCUUCUUAUCAACAGGGACUUAGUGGGGCCGUUCGCCUGGGGAAGGAGACCUCAUGAUGUUGUGCAGUUGGGUGACGUGGUCAGCGGUGUGAGAGCCCUAGUCGAUGCCCUUGACUGGACUCAGGAGCUGGAUGAUCUCAUGGCAGCUGAGAAAGAUGCUUCAAAGACAGAAGAGUGAUGGUAUUUCAGUCCAUGAUACUGGAGGCUUGACAUUAUUCACAUUUUGAAGGAAUUGCUUCCGAUUACCAGGCUCUAGCUACAUCAUGGGAUUGUGUAGUGUAGUCUAUUUGCACACAAUGGAGGCAGGAGAUCAACCAGGUACCAUUCAGCUACCACUAAAUGCUUCCUGAGUCACCCUACGGAUUGUGAUCUACUACUUUUUCCUACUAUCCAGUAUGCUAUGUGAGUAUAUUGGUGUAGUCUGUAUAAAAAAUAAGUUGCUGUGCUGAAUGAGGCCUCAGUGUGUCAAAUAAUUCUAAAUGUUCCAGUUUGUUUGCCCCCUCUAGUGUUCAAACAUAUUAAAACAUGAGUGAAUGCAAAGUUUUGAUUUUCAUAUUUAAAGGAUACAGUCAGUGCAGGCUCUGUAUGUACAUAUCUUGUGUAAUAGCAGGGUAUUCAUCAAAGGUAUGACAUGCCUGAAAUUGCACAUGAAAACUGUUUCGUGUAGCAACAGUCAAUAAGUAGAGGAUUAUUCUCAUACCACUUUUACUUUAUCUUGCUUGUUAUUGAAAUAAACGCAUUUCAAGGCAGAACGUUUCAGCUGACCCGCCAACAUAUAGAAAUAUUUAAGUCAAUAACACUGUGAAAAGUGAUACGAUGUGAUCAGCCAAAGACCAAAGACAUUCACGUGUUUCUAGUUGUAUCCAUCUCAGCCAGAAGUGGAAAACACCAGCUUCUGUGAGUAAAAGUCCUACUACAUAUUUCUUUGAUCUGCCCACUAAACCAGUUGAUCGCAAUUAGUUCAACUCUUCAGGCAGAUAGAUGAGCUAAUCAGCUGUAUCACCUGUUUUAGUUGCACAAAUAGAAGCAACACGGUAGGACUUUUACUGACUGAAGUCGAGGUUUUCUACCGCUUGUCUCAGCAUUUAGCAUGAAACUCAGAGCAGCGCAGACAUGAUCAGACAUGAUCAGGGAGGACUACAUCGCCCGCAACUGCAGAACACAACAGAGGACAGUAACACUUACCACAGUGUUGUAACGUCUUUCUUUCAUGCUAAUUCUCACAAUUCCUCAUAGUCACCUGGAAAAUAAUUUCAGCUUUCCACAUGAUCAGAUUUGUAGUGGUUUUAGCUCAGAAAAGGAGAAAGCAAACAAGGCUUUUGUGAUGGCAUCCAUUUGUCCCUUAGCAAGUGUUUGUGGAGAACCAGCUGAGUGGUUGUCAAGGGCCUGUGAUGUCAUCACUUCGGAGCUCUAGAUUUCAGCUGCCCCUGCUUAAAAUGCUUUUAUUUGGUGAUAGUUGUGGAUAGGUACAUUUUUGUUAGGUUUUGUAGCUGGGGGCAGAUGCAGUGAGCUUUGUGCUUUGGGGAAAAAGACCUGCACUACAGAGUGUGUUGUUAGUGUGAAGUCCCUGUCAAACUGGCGGCUGUUAUUAUUGUUUUGUGCUUUUCGCAAGACAAUAAUAUGUUUUUGUUUUUGUUUAUGUUUUGGCGCAUAAACAGGUUGGUUUAUGCGCCUUUUUCUCUACUAGGGGAGGUGAUGGUCUAGUGGUUAAGGUGUUGGGCUUGUAGACCA